UGGGGAAUCUUGGUCAAUGGGCGCAAGCCUGAACCAGCGACGCCGCGUGAGUGAUGAAGGCCUUCGGGUUGUAAAGCUCUGUGGGGAGGGACGAAAGACUGAGGUCUAAUAGGCUUCAGGUUGACGGUACCUCCUUAGCAAGCACCGGCUAACUCUGUGCCAGCAGCCGCGGUAAGACAGAGGGUGCAAACGUUGCUCGGAAUCACUGGGCGUAAAGGGCGUGUAGGCGGAGAGGUAAGUCGGGCGUGAAAUCCCCAAGCUCAACUUGGGAACUGCACUCGAAACUACCUUUCUUGAGUGUCGGAGAGGAAAGCGGAAUUCCUGGUGUAGAGGUGAAAUUCGUAGAUAUCAGGAGGAACACCAGUGGCGAAGGCGGCUUUCUGGACGAUAACUGACGCUGAGACGCGAAAGCGUGGGGAGCAAACAGG
rnacentral:rRNA from 1 species